UUCAUGUAAAGUGUUUACAGACCUGCAGACUUGGCUGCCUGUCUACAAAUAAACUCCUCCCGAGGCACUUCUUGGAGAGCUGUGUAGUGCAGGGGAUGGAUCGGGGCUGGGGGCUCCGGGGCUGCUUCCUUGGCAAGUUCCUCUCACUUCCCAGGGCUCGGUUUUUCUGCCCACAAAUUAAGGAUCCUGAUUCUGCAAGUGUAUAAAACACUUGAGGAGGGUGAGGUCUUGCUUCUUCACCACACACCCACCUUCUUCCUCUAGUUAACCUGGUGGUGACAGAUUCUACAACCGUCGCCUAGAAUUUAUUUGGCACACGGUUAGUGUGAGGCUUUGCUUUUUUACAGCGUGUCUGGUGUCCCGUGGUCUGUUUGUAUUCAGGAUCCUUUGUACAAGGGGCUGUAUCAAAAGAGCAUCAGCCGGGACAGGCUGGGGAGCUGCCAGCAGCUCUUGUGCAAUCCUGAUUUGCCACCCGUGAUCCAAGGCCAAACCUUCCCUUGCUAUUCCCCUCCCCCACAAAAAAAUUAAAGAAACCUCUAGCAGCCCGUGCACUGAGGCGAUUCUCAGAUUUUGAGUCAUUCUGCGUGGGGCCUGUGAGCAGCGUUUUGCGAAUCCUUUUGCAGAAGCAAGGGCUCCUGAGGGGAAACCCCCCCACAACACAGAGGCUGCGCUCUGCCGAGCCAGCGCAGCUCUGGGGACGGGGUCCCCAGCUCUAGGGAGACAGGUUUCUGCCCAGUACCUCCAGCACUUGCCUCUUUGCCCUCUGCAAACCCGCUGCUGGCUCCUGCAUUGGCUUUACCUCGAGGCAAGGUAAACAGUAAAAGUGAUAAGCAGGAAAUGCCUGAGAAUUCUGAGGAACUGAUCAAGAUCCUGAAGAACACAGCUUUAAAGCGUACGGUCACUAAGUGAGCGUUCCCUAUAGCAGCAGCUUGGCCGGGAUCACGCAGGAGGACUGAAGCAGGACAGGGGGAGGAUGAGGAGAUGUGUGGGGGCUGUUAAUUGCUCAUGGUACCCCCAGCUCUUUUCCCGUCAGCUGUAGCUGUGUGGGGAAGCUCAUUCUGUGUUGGGGCUUCUCCAAGCAUCUUGAUUAUGACCAUCUGGAGGGUGUUUUGACCCUGGGGUGAACCAAGUUGAUUUCUUUUUGAUUUUUUCAUUAAUUGUCCUUAGCCAUCAGAAAUCUUGUGGCUCUGACAACUUUUUCCAAGCUACCAAAGUUCACAUAGCUCCUGCUUGCAAUUGCAGAGAAGGAACUUUCCUCUCUUACGAGACUAUUUCUUCCCUUGAAGUUGCUCCCUGCAUCCCAGGUGCCUCUACUUCAAAUCCCAAAUGACAGAACACCUGGCGGGGUCAGCUCUGCCCCACCUACAGGGAUUCUUGUCUUUCUGCUCAAGAGCAAAGGUACCUCUGCCUGCUGGGCUGCAAGUCAUGGGAAACAUCGUGCUUAGGCAGCUCGGGAAGUGAUAAAUUCACCUUGUAACACGCAAGUGAGAAAUUGCUUUGACCACCGAUCUAGGGCCCUCCCGGGCUCGGCGGGCUGCGGGGGCCAAGCCGCCCCCCUCCCAGCCCUUUCCCCGGGGGCGGCCGGUAGCCGGGGCCGCCCCUUCUCCGCAGGGAAAGGGAAAGCGAAAGCGCAGCGGUGGCGCAGCGGAGCGGGGCCGCGGCGGGGCCGGGGGCUGCUCGGCUGGCACCGCGGCCCCGGAGCAUCCUCAUCCCCGAGCAUCCUUCCCCUUCGGAGCACCAUCCUCCCCCCCGGAGUAUCUUAUCCCCGAAGCAUCAUCCUCCUCGGAGCAUCAUUCCUCUUCCCGGAGCAUCCUUCCCCGGGAGCAUCGUCCCCACCGGCGCAUCCCCUGCCCCGCGGUGGCGAGAGCGCAUGAGCCGUGGUUUAUACCCAGAGGAGGCACGGGCUGCAGGCAAGGGGGAGACGUUCCCCGUGGAAGUGGGGAUGCGGAGGAGGGUUCUGGUGGAGCAACUGAUGUCUGCACAGCCAGCAGCUCCAAGGGAAAGCUCUCGCCGUCCAACACCGCUUGAGUGUCCAAUGUGACAAUGGAACCACAAGGAAAAGCGGAAGGAAGACGUUCCGGUUAGUCCUGAACCUGAACUCAGGUUUGCAGCCAUGUGCUUUGCAACCAGUAACGAUGAAGAGCUGAAUUUUGGCGUUUCUUGUGCAUCCUGCAGGCAGAACACGGCCCGUGCCCGCUCCGUGCGAGAGCUGUGGGAACGCGAGUGUGCUGGGUCUGUGGUUUUAGUCACUUCCAGAGAAGAUUCAAUUUGAUGGAAUCAGGCGACCGCCUCGGCACUCGUCCGUGUUCUAAUGGGGAUGAAGGAUGGUUCCCACCUUACAUCGUCUCACUGUCAGGGGCCUGACCCUGCUCACACGUCUGUUACUGCUUGAUUUGCCAUCACUGAUGUUCAGACUCUAACCCUACCAAGACUGUUGCCUGGAUUUCGGUGAACAAACACUCAAAACCAGAAGCCCCCAGCAAGGCCUUCCUCUGCCUAACAAAGAAUAAAGACCAACCUGUGCUGAACUAAUUGAUCCCACUUUAAUCCCUUUCUUUGGGAUGGGGUCUCUUUGCCUUUCUGGAACCACCUGGUUCAUUAGAAACUGGGUUUUUGAAUGUGUCAGAAAUGUAGACCUCGUAUUCCCACAGACAUGUGGGGAUGUGGUGGAAUGUGGGUGCAUAUUGUAUCUUAAUAAUCUGGUAUUCUGGGGCUGUCAGAUGUUUUGAAGCAAGUUUGAAACUGGUUUUAUCUCCAAGGAGACGUUGGGUCCUCACUUAGCUGACUGUGCAACUACAUAUAGAUUUCUCAGCCUAAAAUAUAGUACUAUACACUAAUCAGAUAUUAUUUAGCAAGUAAGCUCUGCUUCACUGAAAAUUAAAUUAAAGGUGUUAAAUAAGAGUUUAAAGAAAACAGGUUUUGGGAAAAAAAUAUUUGAAUACACCUAUUUCGGUUCAAAUUUGAAUUUCCCCAAAGAUGUUGGCAGGAUUCAUUUCUCCUUUGUACAUGUAACGUAUUUGUUCAUCUAUGCCAUUAUACAGCUCUUUUCAAGCUGAAUAUUCUAUUGGAAUGCAGCAAAAGACAAAUUUAAGAUAGGAAACUGGAGGAGACCAUAUUUCAUACUGCAUAAAAUGCACCUCUGGAAAUUUCAGUUCUUCUUUUCUGCAGUAUUAUAAAUGCUUUUAUAAAGUAUCAUGGAUGAUGAGCUAAAAAAUGUAUAAAAAAGCACUGUGGCUUUGGGUAUAUUCACUUCAAGUUUGUGGUUAAUAUUUCCCAGGCUGCUCUUGAGGUGAGAGCAAGUUCAGGCAUCGCACGGGCUCCACCAGCCCCUGCUGCUGUUUCUAAAUGACUCUGAUAAGAGAUUGUGAAAAACGGCGGUAAAUUGCGUCACCCUGGUGAUGCGUUUUCAGAUGGGGACACAGCACAGGAGCUGUGUUGGGGUCGCACUUAGAGCCCCCAGACUCCCCCCCGGGGCCGCACAAACCCAACGCCUUCCGCUGGGAUUUAAUGGCACCCCCCUGCAUCUCUAGCCAUGCUGGCUUCCUCCUUUACCCUAGAAAUUCUGCAUUAUCUAGUGGUCACGGAGACACCAGAUUUCUCUUUGAUAGAAGAUAAGAAGCUCAGAGAGGCCCCGAGCCCAGAGGCUUCUCUGGGUGGAAGCCCCAAGACCCCCAUCAGCUACAAGUGAUGUGAGACCCAUCUGAAACAAGAAACCCUAGAACAGCACUUUGCUUUCUCACUGCCUGUGCAAUUGCUCUUUAAACCCUUUAUUUUCAAAAUAUAAAAUACGUUUUCCUUCUUAAUCUUUGAGAGGUUUUACUUUAACCUCAUUAAACUUCAUUGCCAAAAUCCAAAACAGGUUGAGAUGAAGCAACUGAUACAUGAGAAUACGAGUCAUACAUUCGUGCCAAAGAAAUGCAAUAAAACAGCGUCUCCGUAUCUGUCUUUAAAUGGUGUAAAUAUAAGGGGAAGGAGUGGGGAGUCCCUGUUUGGCAGAGUUAUGUUAGAAAUUAAACCAAGCCCAGGCUCUCCUUGUACAGCCAGCGCUGUUCUCUGCAGGCUCGUUGCAUGGGGUUGAGUGUCGUGGUGCCGGGAUAUCUUUGUGUUUGUAUGUAAAUAUAAGAAAGCAGAAACACAGACCAUCCUGUGUACUUGGCUAUUCUGAAAGAAACCCACACAAGGGCAUGUUUUGAGGGAGGUGAUGCAGAUGCUAUAACCAUAACAAGCGCAUGUGUCCCCACUCACAAGCUGCUGCGCUGGUGGGUGCUGUCCCUGCAGGCACGAGUCGGGGGUGACAUUGUUCUGGGGGUGCCCAGUGACCCUCAUGGGCAGACCCAAUACACAUCCACAUGCCAGCGCAGCUCCUGGUGCUUUAGGUGGGCGCUGGGUACCCCACCAGGGCGCUGUGCUGCUGGAUGGGAGUUUGGUGCUGAUUUGUCACUGGGACCUGCAGUGCUCUUUGCUCUUGCUUCUAUCAUUACACAGUCAUUUACUACACCAAAAUAGUCCUUAAGACUCUAGCACAAGUAGCAGAUCCUUUUGGUUUUAGUAUUUUCUCCCCUGAGUAGCAAACAAGUCCAGCCUGGCAGCAGUAAGCCGGUCUUUGCAACUGAGACACUUCUCUCCCUAUUGCAGUUUUUGCAUGAGAGGGAAAAUGGCAUCUUAAACAAGAAGCAUCCCAUGAAUCCAUCCCUGCACGAUGGUGUUUCCUCUGACACCUGGCUCGGACCUCUCCUUUCCCACUCUUUGUAGAGCAGGAGUGAGUGUGCGUGAAAGGAGGCGCCUGCGUGUGAAACCAGCUGAGAAGUAUCCCGGCCACUUCUCUUUUCCCAUCAGUGGAUAUUGCUUCAGUUCCCAUUUUCUAACACUGCUUCGUUCACCAGCUUCAGGCCCUUUUCACCAGCCGCUUGCCAAGGAUUUCAGAGCCUUGAACCAAGACAUACUUUAGCUAUUAUAAAUUAAAACUUUGAUAUUCCUAUCACAUUUUGUCUUCAAAUGGGCAUUUAUCAUUCUUUCCACAAUAUUUUUCCUCUCUUGCAACUACAAGCAAUACAAGCUAGAGUAAGAUAUUUACAUCAUGCUAUCUGCCAGGUUCUGGCCAUGGAACUAUCUCUCUAACCCUCUCCUUUUACCUACACCAAACUUCUCCCUUUUUAGCCAGACCCAUUCUGCCACCUUCCUCUUGUAUCAGAUCUUGUGCCCCUUCCCUGUCCUUUAAUAUUAAAUUAAAACAUACACCAACUUGUAUCUCAGACACCCUGUAAAAUUUGUGAUUCUCAGACCGUUAGAAAAUUGCUCAGAUAUCCACAGUGAAUCAGACUGGAGUUACCUGUAUCCCAUCAUCUCAUCACUAUGCUGCUGCUUCUGCACGCUUGUGGCUUUUUGGGUAUUUAAUUAGUACUAGUUCCACCCCAGAGCCCUGGGGCCUCAUUUUCCACCAUGGAUGGUGCUGCUGUUUUGGAACCAUAGUGCACCCCAGGUCUGGAUGACAAUUCUUGCUCCUGUGGUGCUUGUGCUUUCCCUCCCCCGGGCUGUUAGAUCAAACACGCCUCAUAUGUGCUCAGAAACCAACAAUUCAGUGCUGGUUUUGGCCAGAAGCCUUGGUACAGCUUCAAUAUAAAAAAUCAAUAAGGAUUUGGUUGUUUCCAAUAGACUCUCCAUCAGGCACUACCAGAAAGGAGCGGGUUUAGGUCCCAAUGCUGAUUUACCAAGCCAGUCCUGUCCCUCCCCACCCUGGGCAUCCCUGUACCCACUGCCAGGUGUUGCUGGCAGCAAAGCCGCUCUCACCAAGCAGCUUCUGCACCCUGAUGGUGAACCAGGUGAGAAAUCAGCAGGAAAGGUCAGGCUGGAAACAGGGACGUGGCUGCUGAGUGUGCUCAGCUGGCCCCGCUGCAGCAGCCUCAGCUGCCGGAUUACAAGUGUUUGUCCCCAGAAGCCCUGCCCUUUGCAGCUAUUAUUGUCGGAGCUGUAAGAAAAAGGAAAUAGGAAGCAGAGCUGCUGUAAUGCAGUUUUGUGUGCAGCUGGGUUCUGGUUGCUCCAAUGUGUUGCUGCUUACCUUGUGAGUGGGUUUUGUUUCCAUUUGAAUUUUGUAAGCAGUAGCUGAGGCUCUUCAGUUCAGCAUUGCCAGGCUCUGGGUUUUCCACGGGGCAGUUUAGCCCGGGUCAUGUCCCAGUAGCAGCAUCCUGCCACGAGCCAGGGCUCUGCAGCGAUGUGAUUUAGCACAGGGAGGAAGGAAGGAGCCAGCAGGUCUGUUUCUCUGAAGCCAGGGCUCCUGGGAUGGCAGGGCUGGCUCUACAAAGCCUGGACUGUGGGCUGAGCAGGGUCUCCAGCAGAGCCAGGCUGGAGCCUGCAGCUCAUCAGCUCCUCUGUGUACCAGGUAUUCUGUUAUUAUUUCAAAUUUCUGUUGCUUAUUACUUCAGGACAGAAGUGGUUGAGAGAAAUUAGGAGCACAGUCCUGAUGGUGGGCAUGUACUGGUUUGCUGGUGUCCUGGGAUUAGAGGUGAGACCCCAAGCUGAUUUACUGGGACACUGCAUUGAGAAAUAAAGGCAGGCAUCUGGGUUUUAGUAACUCUUGAUCUGGGGUUUAGAAACACAUCCAAGGAGCUUUGUAUCUUGUUGUUUGAAUCACACGUGGCUUGAAACUGCUGUAGUAAUUCCUGGGUUUAAUUCCAUUUUACCUUCAGAAAGUAAUAAUUUCCAUGCUGUGGGCUACUGCUGAUUGGUGUGAAUCAAAAUGACUGAAGAGAAUUACUGAAAAGGAGAGGAAAGCACAGAAAACGUCACUGGUGGAGCUGCCUGCACAGAUGUGUUUCUGGCACAUUAAGUGUUGCAUUUUAAGACAACAUGAAACUGUUUCUUCUUUUUGUUUUCAUUCAUAGACAGAAGCCAAACUCUACUGGCUCUAAGAGGACCUUUUUCUCCCCACCCCUUCUAUAUUGCUGUAUUUUCCUCUCUUUCCCUCACCGCACCUGUUCGACACUUCUCCUGUGGGUAUUUCUCCUCUUGCAAGGCUCAGGAUGGGGGUCAAGCCCAGGUGAUGUCUGCCCCUGUGUGAAUGGGAGCAUCAUGCAAGCAAUGAAAGAACUUCUAAGACACCAAAUGCCUCUUUCUACUCUUUCUAACCUUUCUGUGCCAAUUGCCCUUGGCUCCUGUAUGCUUUGAUAAGAAAGGAGGAAUUAUCCACUGUGGCUUAUUCUAGUAAUAAUGUGUAUUAAAAGUCCCUUCAGAGGGGCUUCCCAUAGAGGGCAGGGGAUCCUUUGCGCUGUAAUUUUCUGCAGCUACACUGUUUUGUCUGAGAGGCUUCCUGAGAAAUCCAAAUUGUUAUUUAUGGUUUAGCUUUCCUCAGACAGUAAGUUUAGAUUUUUCGUUUGUUGUUGCUGUUUGUUUUAUUUCAGUUUGGUAAAGCAAAUAUUAAGCCAGCACUUCAGUGCAUAGAAAGCCAUAGCUAGCGUGAAAGACUUAGGCAGAAAUGCCAUGUAAAGUGCGGCUGGGUUCCACCUCUGCUUUUGAAGAUGAUACAGAUGGUUUCACCUGGGAGCUUUAUGCUGCUGCAUUUCUGUGCACCAGAGAAACAUCGUACAAGUGAGGCAAGAGCCACCGACAGCUGUAUUUCUGUGGCUGUGAGGUGUGGGAGAACAGGAGACUUGCUACAAGACCUUAGAUCUCUUGGAAGCCAGUUGCUGAUUAAAGAUGAGUGUUCGGGUUUUGUUAAAAACAAGUUUCUCUUUUAGUAAAUUUGCCUGUCAGCUAAAGCCUUCAUAUUAACUGCAUUUUCCUGGAGAACCAGACACAUGUUCUGGUAAACAUAGUAAUGGAAUGUAAACCUAUUGAUAAGGACAGAUUCACAUCUCUCGAGAGGGGCAACGAGAAACUGGUGACCAAGAAGCUGACCUUGUAUAACAUUCCAUUCACGUGAAUACUUCAUAUAAAAGUGGGAGAUCACAAGGAUCUCGUCCCUUUUCCCUUCUGCUUAUGGCCGACAUUAGGAGAGGACCUUGCUAGUCAUCCCUGCGAACUGAGGCCUAGUGAGAGACUGAAUCCAGCUCCGGUUGGCUGCAGAGUCCAGUCCAGGACUUUGGGUGCCGGCUCUGCAGUUGCUGAGACUUUCAAGAUUGGUUUUGUAUAUUUUGUAUUAUUUUCUCUAUUCUUAUUAGUAGCAUUAGUAAAACAUUGUUAAUUUUUCCAA